GCCCUUGAUUAGAGAGGGAGGGUCUAGAGCCUUUCAAUUCAGUCUAAACCCCCUCCAAAACCCUAGCAUAGCUAUGGCGCAACGACUGCUCCGCCUCCGUCGAGCUCUAACCCCACUCUCUUCUACUCGGCAACGCCCUCCUCUCUCCACUCCUAUCGCAAUAGCACCACCAGCCGCACAGACGCCCCCAAUCAUUUCUCAAUGGCGGGGAUUCUCGGGAACGAGAGUGUCAAUGGUGUCGACGACUGGUUUGGCAGAGAAAGAGUACAAGGUAUACGAGGAUGGAGAAGAAAUCGUUAAGAGCACAAUUCUGUUCGAAGGCAACGAAUACAUUCACUGGCUGGUGACUGUUGAUUUCCCAAAAGAACCCAAACCCUCUCCUGAAGAAAUGGUCGCUGCUUUUGAACGCAUCUGUGCCCAGGGACUCAACAUCAGUAUUGAGGAGGCGAAGAAGAGAAUGUAUGCUUGUAGCACAACUAUUUAUCAAGGGUUUCAGGUUUCAAUUACGCACCAAGAGGCCGAAAAGUUUAAAGGUGUUCCGGGGGCUGUUUUUGUAUCACCAGAUUCGCGAGUAAAAAAGGAAAAUGGAGGAGACAAGUAUAAAAAUGGAUUAAUCACUCUCAGACCACCCCCAGUUCAAUUUCAGAGAGGGGGAGAAAGGAGCCGUGAUCCAGGCAGAAUUCCACCUAGAUUUGACCGGCCAGAAAGUCCAAUUCCAAAUCAUCAAGGGCCGCAACCCCAGUAUAGUCAGCGAGGGCAUAUGCAAGGAGGUGGUAGUAGCUAUGGGUCUCAACAAAAUCGUCCACCACAGAAAAAUCAUGGUCCUCCAGGGCUAGGAGGAACAGUGCCGAUGAACAAUAGGGAUUAUGCCACUGGAGGAAGGAACACAUAUCCAGGACAGCAAGGAAAUCAUGAUCCCCCAGGACAGCAAGGUUACAACCAAGGACAGCAGGGGAAUCAUUAUGACCCAGACCAAGGGAGCUUUCCACAAGGAGACUGGAGGAGGGAUCAUGGCUCUCCUGGGCAAAGAGAUGACAGGGGAGACAACUGGAAUUAUUCUCCCACCCAUGGUGGAAACUAUGGGCAAGGUGGAAAUACUAGCUAUGGACAGCGUCACCCAGGUGAAGAUCAGAGGUCCGCACAAAUGGAGCUGAGGGGCAUGCAAGGAGAGCAAGGGAACUAUGCACCAUUGGGACAACCAGGGUGGUCAAACCAAUACAGUCAACAAGGGCACAUGCAAGGAGGUGGCAGUUGCUACGGGUCUCCACAAAAUGGUCCAUCACAGCAAGAUCACGGUCCUCCAGUGCUAGGAGGAAGGAUGCCAAUGAACAAUAGGGAUUAUGCCCCUGGAGGAAGGAACAUGUAUCCAGGGCAGCAAGGUUACUUCCAAGAUCAGCAGGGAAAUCGUUAUUCCCCAGGUCAGCAAGGUUACAACCAAGGACAGCAUGGAAAUCGUUAUCCCCCAGGUCAGCAAGGUUACAACCAAGAACAGCAUGGAAAUCGUUACCCCCCAGGUCAGCAAGGUUACAACCCAGGACAGCAUGGAAAUCGUUACCCCCCAGGAAAGCAAGGUUACAACCCAGGACAGCAUGGAAAUCGUUAUCCCCCAGGUCAGCAAGGUUACAACCAAGGACAGCAUGGAAAUCGUUAUCCCCCAGGUCAGCAAGGUUACAACCAAGGACAGCAGGGAAAUCAUUACACGCCAGGACAUCAAGGUUACUUCCAAGAACAGCAGGGAAAUCAUUACCCCACAGGACAGCAAGCGUACUUCCAAGAACAACAGGGAAAUUAUUACCCCCUAGGACAGCAAGGUUACUUCCAAGAACAGCAGGGAAAUCGAUACCCCCCAGGACAGCAAGGUUACAACCAAGGACUGCAGGGAAGUGAUUACCCCCCAGGACAGCAGGGGAAUCAUUAUGACCCAGACCAAAGGAGCUUUCCUCAAGGAGAUUGGAGGAGGGAUCAUGGAUCUCCUGGGCAAAGAGAUGAUAGGGGAGACAACUGGAAUUAUUCUCCCACCCAUGGUGGAAACUAUGGGCAAGGUGGAAUUCCACCAAGAUUUGACCAGCGAGAAAGUCCAAUUCCAACUUAUCACGGGCUGCAACCCCAGUAUAGUCAGCAAGGGUGUAUGCAAGAAGGUGGUAGUAACUACGGAUCUCAACAAAAUGGUCCACCACAGCAAAAUCAUGGACCUCCAGGUCUAGGAGGAAGGAUGCUGAUGAACAAUAGGGAUUAUGCCCCUGGAGGAAGGAACAUGUAUCCAGGACAGCAAGGAAAUCAUGAUCCCCCAGGACAGCGAGGUCACAACGAAGGAGAGCAAGGAGGUGGUAGUAACUACAGGUCUCAACAAAAUGGUCUGCCACAGCAAAAUCACGGUCCUCCAAGGCGAGGAAGGAUGCCGAUGAACAAUAGGGAUUAUGCCCCUGGGGAAAGGAACACAUAUCCAGUACAGCACGGAAAUCGUGAUCCCCCAGGACAGCAAGGCUACAACCAAGGAGAGCAGAGAAGUCAUUACCCCCCAGGACAGCAAGGGUACAACCCAGAACGGCAGGGAAUUGAUUACUCCCCAGGACAGCAAGGUUACUUCCAAAGACAGCAGGGAAAUCAUUAUCCCCCAGGACAAGGUUAUAGCCAAGGACGGCAGGGAAAUCAUUACCCCCCAGGACAGCAAGGUUACUUCCAAAGACAGCAGGGAAUUCAUUAUGACCCAGACCAAAGGAGCUUUACACAAGGAGAUUGGAGGGAUCAUGAAUCUCCUGGGCAAAGAGACUACAGGAGAGACAACUGGAAUUAUUCUCCCACCCAUGGUGGAAACUAUGGGCAAGGUGGAAAUAGUAGCUAUGGACAACGUAACCCAGGUGAAGGUCAGAUGUCUGCACAAAUGGAGCAGAUGGGCAUGCAAGGAGAGCAAGGGAACUAUGCACCAUUGGGACCACCAGGGUGGUCAAACCAGGGCACACCCCCCAUUAAGUGAUUAAACGGAACCUCUCUCUCUCUCAGUUUUUAGAUUAUCCAUAGGUGGUUUCAUAGUGCAGGUGAGGACGAAGAAUGGUUUGCUGACCUUGCAUGCAUGCAUGCAUGACUUGAUUUUUUUUAUCGGAAGAUAGAUUUAAAUGUCAUCUUGUGUAGCUAGGUAGCCCCUGACUGCGUACAAGUUAGAUUACUGUAAAGUUUAUCAUCAAGAGUUUAGCGGUUACUACUCUUCAAUUACCAAUAGAUCUCCUGGGAAACUCUGCGUGCUCGAAAGUGAAGUACACUGAUGAAAUGGAAGAUAGCGAGAAGACUGAUGGUUCUCUGAGGUGGAAGUAAGAAUGGACAUGUAAUUCACUUUCAUCUUUCAAUUUUCGUUCUCACGAGACACAUGAAAUGAAUUGUCGAUGACUGGUUUGGUGAACAGGCUUGCCUUCAUGAGACUAGGAAAGUAGGAAAGCGGUAUUUUUCCCAUCUAUUUAACUGCUUGAGCUUUUUAGUGAGGUUGCUUGGUCAUGGCAUAUCCUCUACCACAAGCGUGCAAUCUGUCAUCUGUGUUUCAACUUUUUCCUGCCUUUUAAUAGAAGUUACUACGUAGGGGUAUAUGUUGUGGAAAGGAUUCCUAGCUAAUUUAUAUCAAAAGACGAAAAGGCUUCAGCAUUAUGGAUCUGUUUUCCAACAAAUAUAAGAAUGGAUAAAUCAUA